rnacentral:rRNA from 1 species
AGUUUGAUCCUGGCUCAGAUUGAACGCUGGCGGCAUGCCUUACACAUGCAAGUCGAACGGCAGCAUAGGAGCUUGCUCCUGAUGGCGAGUGGCGAACGGGUGAGUAAUAUAUCGGAACGUGCCCUAGAGUGGGGGAUAACUAGUCGAAAGACUAGCUAAUACCGCAUACGAUCUACGGAUGAAAGUGGGGGAUCGCAAGACCUCAUGCUCCUGGAGCGGCCGAUAUCUGAUUAGCUAGUUGGUGGGGUAAAAGCCUACCAAGGCAACGAUCAGUAGCUGGUCUGAGAGGACGACCAGCCACACUGGGACUGAGACACGGCCCAGACUCCUACGGGAGGCAGCAGU